CUGGGUUGCUCGGCUUUCACGGUUGGCUUUUAUGUUUUAUUAUAUUCAUAAGGCACGCGGUGAAUGCCAAGUAAUCCGAG
rnacentral:pre_miRNA from 1 species